rnacentral:rRNA from 1 species
UGGGGAAUAUUGCACAAUGGGCGAAAGCCUGAUGCAGCAACGCCGCGUGAGUGAUGAAGGUCUUCGGAUUGUAAAGCUCUGUCUUUUGGGACGAUAAUGACGGUACCAAAGGAGGAAGCCACGGCUAACUACGUGCCAGCAGCCGCGGUAAUACGUAGGUGGCGAGCGUUGUCCGGAUUUACUGGGCGUAAAGGGUGCGUAGGCGGAUGUUUAAGUGAGAUGUGAAAUACCCGGGCUUAACUUGGGUGCUGCAUUUCAAACUGGAUAUCUAGAGUGCAGGAGAGGAGAAUGGAAUUCCUAGUGUAGCGGUGAAACGCGUAGAGAUUAGGAAGAACACCAGUGGCGAAGGCGAUUCUCUGGACUGUAACUGACGCUGAGGCACGAAAGCGUGGGUAGCAACAGGAUUAGAUACCCUGGUAGUCCACGCCGUAAACGAUGAGUACUAGGUGUAGGAGGUAUCGACCCC